AUGAACGCUAGCGACAGGCCUAACACAUGCAAGUCGAGGGGCAGCACAAGGAGCAAUCUGAGGUGGCGACCGGCGCACGGGUGAGUAACACGUAUGCAACCUGCCUGUAAGCGGGGAAUAACCCGUUGAAAGACGGACUAAUACCUCAUAAUACUAAAUUACUGCAUGGUAAUUUAUUUAAACAUUUAUGGCUUACAGAUGGGCAUGCGCAUGAUUAGCUAGUUGGAGAGGUAACGGCUCCCCAAGGCAACGAUCAUUAGGGGUUCUGAGAGGAAGGUCCCCCACACUGGUACUGAGACACGGACCAGACUCCUACGGGAGGCAGCAGUGAGGAAUACUGGUCAAUGGACGAGAGUCUGAACCAGCCAAGUCGCGUGCAGGAAGAAUGUCCUAAUGGAUUGUAAACUGCUUUUGCAGGGGAAUAAAGUGCAUCACGUGUGAUGUUUUGUAUGUACUCUGCGAAUAAGGAUCGGCUAACUCCGUGCCAGCAGCAGC
rnacentral:rRNA from 1 species